rnacentral:lncRNA from 1 species
CAGAAGAUCUUACCUUUGACACAUUGCAGGAAACUCCUGGAGCCUACCAUGAGAACUAGCCUCACAGCUGUGGGCACCAUUUCCAGCUGUGUGCAGAAGGUCUAUCAGCUUCCUCACCCUGGUCUGUGACCAACACCCCCACUCAGGUCACCCACUUUUACCUGCCUCUUCAGCCUCACGCACAAACGCUCCGCUGGUUCUUCAGUCAUCCCUAGGUGGAGCUCGAUACGUUCCCGUUCUCUCCCUCGAAAAGAGACUCCACCGCCUGACCGGUCUGUCUUUCCUAAAAGGAACAGAGCCAUCCACGACAGCACUCCAGUCGUGCGAGCUGCCCUGCCAGGUCUCCACGGUGGGAACCUAAAUCGUGCUCCUGCAGUUACACGGGAAGGAAGAGGCGGGGAAAAAAAAAAAAAAAUAAAACCACGGUCCCAACCUGCUCGCUCCCACCGCUGGAAACGGGAUGGGUGAGAGCACCCGCAAAACACUCCGCAGUGGCCGAGGCCACCCCGGGAUCGUGCUCGGUCUCGGGCGGAGGCCCCGUGCCGGUCCUACUAAAAAGCCACACGGGAGCCCCCAGCGGCGGCGCCGUGCCGAUCCCAAAGAUACGGAGGCAGUCGGGCAGCAACCCUACAGGAGCCCCAGCAGGGGAGAUCUUACCGAGCGACUCUCAAACACUCCCCGCUUCCACGAGCUGCCUGCUUCGGAGCGAUGAGAGGCUCUGCUACAGCCCUCGCUCAGCCUGCAACACGAGAAACCUUUUGUUUCAGCAGCCCUUGGCCUCGCUUCUCUCUCCCGGCAGCACAGAGGCUGCACGAAUACGGCCCCACCGCGUUCGCUCCUACCGAGGAGAGCCUGAAGAACUGAAGCACCCGCUGAAAGAAAUCCCGAGGGUGAGGGGGGCUGAGAGCACCCCGGGGCUGUGCGAGGACUCGGGGAUCGGAGCGGCAGCCGCCUCCGAAAACGCGACGGCAGCCGGGCGGCGGCGGCGGCGCCGUAUCGGCUCCGCACAGCCGGGGGAGCCCGGCGGCGACCUAACGCCGGCCCCGAGAAGAGCGGGGUCCGACAGCCGCCAGCUCCGGAGAUCCUGGCGGCUCCUGAGCGCUCACCGUCCCCUUACUACCCGAACCGCUCACCUGUUUGGGCUGGUCCUUACCGCAAAAGGGCUCACAGCAGCCUGAAACAAAACGACACCACGAGAACAUUAAAGAGAACCUGAAGGCGCCGUCCGUCCC